AGAGUUUGAUCAUGGCUCAGGAUGAACGCUGGCGGCGUGCCUAACACAUGCAAGUCGAACGAGGGUGCUUGCACCCUAGUGGCGAACGGGUGAGUAACACGUAGGUAACCUGCCUUUAAGCUUGGGAUACCCAGAGGAAACUUUGGCUAAUACCGGAUAACAAUGGAAGAGGCAUCUCUUCUAUUUUAAAAGGCCCGUAUGGGUCACUUAAAGAUGGACCUGCGGCGCAUUAGCUAGUUGGUGAGAUAACAGCCCACCAAGGCGAGGAUGCGUAGCCGACCUGAGAGGGUGAUCGGCCACAUUGGAACUGAGACACGGUCCAAACUCCUACGGGAGGCAGCAGUGAGGAGUUUUCGGCAAUGGGGGAAACCCUGACCGAGCAACGCCGCGUGAAUGAUGACGGCCCUAUGGGUUGUAAAGUUCUUUUAUUAGGGACGAAUGAUUAGCUUAGGAAAUGAAGCUAGUUUGACGGUACCUUUUGAAUAAGCCACGGCUAACUACGUGCCAGCCGCGGC
rnacentral:rRNA from 1 species